rnacentral:lncRNA from 10 species
GCGAUAGAGCGAGACUCUGUAUAAAAAAAAAAUUAUGGGUAUUUUCAAACAUAUAGGGAAAGCAGAGAGUAUAAUAAACCCCCGUGUACCCCAAAACCCAGUCUGGGUAAUUAGCACCUCUAGCAACAGGCAGCUAAUCUUGUUUUAACUCUACCCCAGUUCACUUUAUCACCACCAGACUGAACUAGUUUAUAGCAAAACAAAAAAAAACAAAACAAAAAAACAAACAAAAAAAAGAAUUACCUUAAUACUAUUGUUACUCUUUAAAAAAUUCUUUAAUAAGUAUCCAGUAGUUGUUCAAAUUUCCUUGAUAGUAUCAUUUUUUUAAAUUGUUAGCUUGCCUGAAAAGUCUUUACAUUGCAUUUGUUGAUAUAUAUCUGUUAGGUCUCUUUUGAUCUAUAGACUCCUGUUCUUUUUUCUCCUUGUCUUUUAUUUAUUGAAGAAAUGGGUCAUUUGUCCUUAGAGCAGUGCUUCUCAAACUUGAAUGUGCAUGCAGAUCACUCCAGGGUCUUAUUAAAAUGCAGAUUCUGAUUCAAGAGGUCUGGGUGCGGCCCGAGACUGCAUUUCUGACCCCCUUCUUGGUGAUGCUGAUGUUGCAGGUCCGUGGACCACACUUUGAGUAGUAAGGCUGUAGUGUUGCGCAGAUUCUGGAUUUUGCCAACUGCAUCUCUGGGGUGUCUUUUAAACAUAGUCUAUCCCUUGUAUUUUCACUAAAUUGGUAUUUUUAGAUCUACAGGCUUGACUAGAUUUAGGGUUGGCUUUUUGGCAAGAUUACUUUAUUAGUGGGGCUGUAUAUUUCCUAUUGCAUCUCAUUAGGAAGCACAUAAUUUGGUUGUCUCUUUUUUGUGAUUUUUAGACUGAUCAGUGGAUUCAGGUGUUAUCAGCCUAUACCUUCUAUUAUACAGUUCUUGUCUUGACCCAUUAAUAUAGUCCCCUAAUGGUAGGAUACCCUAGCACCUUCCCUGUACCUUUCUUCUAAAUCUCUACAGAUGCUAUUUUCUCCAUAAAUUAUUUCUCGUAUAGUCUCUUAAAAGGAUCUCUCUCUCUUUUUCUUUCUUUUUUUUUUUUUUUUUUAAGACUGAGUCUCACUCUGUUGCCCAG